UCUGAGUUGGUCUCAGCAGUCUCGCCAGAAAAAUACAACUAUUCACAAGGGUUGCGCUCGUUGAUGGACUUAACCAAACAUCUCACGACACGAGCUGGCGACGGCCAUGCAUCACCUGUCACUUGGCUCAAUAAAGCACUCUCUGCUUUCACAGAAAUUCCAAGGAUGUCAAACCCUGGUAAGGUUCUUCGGUUAUCAUCGAAUUAAAGAACAUAAUCCACCGCUUGUGCGGCUCCCCGUCAAUUCCUUUAUGUUUUAGUCUUGCGACCGUACUCCACAGGCGGGAUACUUAACGCGUUAGCUUCGCUACUGAAGGGGUCGAUACCUCCAACAGCUAGUAUCCAUCGUUUACGGCGUGGACUAC
rnacentral:misc_RNA from 1 species